rnacentral:rRNA from 1 species
CCAUGUGAACGGCACUUGCACAUGGGUAAGCCGAUCCUAAGGGACGGGGUAACCCCGGCAGAUAGCGCGAUCACGCGCAUCCCCCGAAAGGGAAUCGGGUUAAGAUUUCCCGAGCCG